rnacentral:Y_RNA from 1 species
AGCAGGUCUGAAUCCAACGGUGUUUACAACUAACUGACCACAACCAGUUAGGGACUUCUUUGUUCCUUCUCCACUCUUACUGCUUCACUUGACUACCCUUAA